UAAAACCCCAUGGAAAGCCACGAAUUAUGGUGAAAGUGGGGAAUUUGUGAGUGAGAUUGUCACACAGGGCAUUAUGUGGCAGUCCCCAGUCAACGUCACCUAGGUGACUGAAAGGCAGCUGCUGUACCCAGACUUUCACAGCUUCCCCACUGUUACUGUUGUGUAUAUAUGUGACCACUGCUUGCCACCCAACUUCAAGGUCCUGAUCUGUGCUCACGAGGUGUCAGCUUCAACUGUCAGCCUGCUGGAGACUGCACCAAAUGUGGGAUGGUACCUUAAGGUAGCCCACGACUGCAUCCUGCGACAUAGGACAUUAGCUUGCAAUGCUGCAUUAGAAAUGUAAGUUAAAAGUUUUUUAAGUAUGGGAGUGGAUGUGGUCAUGGCCUAUUAUAAGGUACUCUCCCAGUAUUUGCCUGAAAGAAUUGAGAAGAGCAUAAAAAACAGGAUGGUUGGCCUCCAUACUGAGAUUCAGACCCAGACCUCCCAAAUAAGAAGCAGGAAUGCUAUAACGUUGCAUUUGAGGCCUGAGUGUGCUAAAUUUCACAUGCCUGGCUGUGUUCAGAAAAAGAUGAAUAAUCUGAUAAAAAGUAAUGGAAUCUGCAAGGACUGGGCAAAUCCUCUGUCUGGGCAUGUAAUUUCUGUGAAUAUAAUAUGUUAUUGCUAACAAAAUUAAAUAAAAUGUUAUCCAUUUUAACCCUGUCCUUACUCCUAAGUCGCGCCUACACCUACAAAAUGUGUUGAUGCUUGUUCUAGAAUAUCUUCCCUGUUUCUACCCAUUCAUGCUCAUUCUCCUGGCUCUCGUACUCCAACUGGUGGCCCUGUGCCGAGGCACUUCAGUGUGGAUCACUGAUAAACCGAGCAUUGGCAGUCAACAGUGAUUCAGAGCCAUGAACCCAGAAAGCCAUAGAAAUGCAUCAUCCAGAGGGCAGAACACUGGCUGUGGUUCAUGGGAUGUGUCAUGGCGCCCCCCUCCCUGCAGAGCACAGAGUGUGUAAUAUCUGAAGAUUACACAUUUGGGUCCUAUGAAGGGUUUGGAUUGUACAGGCAUUUGUGACAAAAUAGGAAAUAGCAAUCAGUACUAUAGUCUUGAUACUGACAGCAUUGUUAUGUAAUGAGCUUUAAAAAACAGAGUAAGAGAUACCAAGAGGCGAGCUGUCUGACAUUAUGAAGAUGCAUGGGGGAAUGCAUUACUCUGUACUCUUCCUAAUAUGUAUGGGAGCCAUGUCUGUUAAAGUGAUAUGCAGGUAUAGUAUUAGGGUUUUUAGUUGCAAUUCAAACCCUCAUUCCUUUUUUUUUUUGCAUCAGUAAACUUUAAUUUCUUGAGUGUUAUUGCAGCUUUAAAGUUUUAGCUCCUACAGCAUGCUGUGAUAUUGACAUGGAAACAAUUUAAUCAUAGGUGAUGAACAUGUACUUAUGCAUGUUUGAAAUACAGUUUUGCCUUUUAAUUUCAUUAUGAAAAUCAGAUUACUUAGAUAUGCACAUAAAAUGUUGUGCCCUGAAAAUAAUAUAAAAUUAUGUGUGAAGCCCUGACAGUGCAAGAGCAUUAUGGUUAUAUAAAGUCUUGCUGUAUUUACAUAUUUAAAGUUAGCAAGAAGUGAUCUAGCAAUGUUGUUCUGUAUUCCAUUCAUAAGGUAGGUGAGUAUGUAUUAGUAGCGAGACAUGUGUCACCUUGGAAAUUCUGAAGCCAACAGCUCCUCAGCCACUCAAGAAUUUCCCAACAUUUUAUGGAACCCUAACGAUCAUUACCAUGUCCACAAGAGCCUGCC